rnacentral:rRNA from 1 species
AGUGAACGCUGGCGGUAGGCCUAACACAUGCAAGUCGAACGGCAGCACAGUAAGAGCUUGCUCUUACUGGUGGCGAGUGGCGGACGGGUGAGGAAUACAUCGGAAUCUACUUUUUCGUGGGGGAUAUCGUAGGGAAACUUACGCUACUACCUCAUACGACCUACGGGUGAAAUCAGGGGAUCUUCGGACCUUGCGCGAUUCAAUGAGCCGAUGUCGGAUUAGCUAGUUGGCGGGGUAAAGGCCCACCAAGGCGACGAUCCGUAGCUGGUCUGAGAGGAUGAUCAGCCACACUGGAACUGAGACACGGUCCAGACUCCUACGGGAGGCAGCAGUGGGGAAUAUUGGACAAUGGGCGCAAGCCUGAUCCAGCCAUACCGCGUGGGUGAAGAAGGUCUUCGGGUUGUAAAGCCCUUUUGUUGGGAAAGAAAAGCAGCAGGUUAAUACCCCGCUGUUCUGACGGUACCCAAAGAAUAAGCACCGGCUAACUUCGUG